AGAAGGAGAUUGCUUCUGCUUGUUCCGCCGAGUACGAUUCCACCUUCUUGGAGAAUCCAUUGAUUAGGCGUCCCCGUGAGUCCCUGCAGACGCAGGUGAUGGCUGCUCUGUUUGCCAUCCCUCCUCUGUUCUUGUCUAGAUUCGCUAACUCGGCUUCCUGUUGAACGAAGGAGGCAUCAAUGUUGACUCGGAGUGAAUCGGAGGGCAGGGGUUGCCACCGGUGCAUGUAAGUCUCUCUCUGUUUCUCCUUGGCUGCAAUCUGGUUCCAGAUUUCGAAAUUUUU
rnacentral:lncRNA from 1 species